UACAGAGGGUGCAAGCGUUAAUCGGAAUCAUUGGGCGUAAAGGGCGCGUAGGCGGCCCGGUAAGUCAAAGGUGAAAUCCCUCGGCUCAACUGAGGAACUGCCUUUGAAACUGUCGGGCUUGAGGCCGGGAGGGGGUGGCGGAAUUCCCAGUGUAGCGGUGAAAUGCGUAGAUAUUGGGAGGAACACCAGUGGCGAAGGCGGCCACCUGGACCGGUUCUGACGCUGAUGCGCGAAAGCGUGGGUAGCAAACAGG
rnacentral:rRNA from 1 species